rnacentral:rRNA from 1 species
GCGGGACCUAAGGCGAGGCCGAAAGGCGUAGUCGAUGGACAGCUGGUUAAUAUUCCAGCCCCGUAAUGUAAGGUUGAACCGACGGUGCGGAUCUUGAAGUUUAGCGGGACAGUGAAGCGUCCAGGCCCUUGAGGCCGUUGCUAGGUAGAUAGGUUCCAAGAAAAGCCGUUCGGGGACGAACAUUACGCCCGUACUAAAACUGACACAGGUAGGUGUGGCGAAUAGCCUCAGGAGCUCGAGAAAAUGGUUGUGAAGGAACUAGGCAAAUUGACCCUGUAAGUUCGCGAUAAAGGGGCCCUAUCCAUUUGGAAGGGCGCAGAGAAAAGGCUCUGGCGACUGUUUAUCAAAAACACAGCACUGUGCUAACACGCAAGUGGACGUAUACAGUGUGACUCCUGCUCGGUGCCGGAAUGUUAAGGAAGCUGGUUAGCCCUCGGGCAAAGCUAGUGACCGAAGCACCGGUAAACAGCGGCCGUAACUAUGACGGUCCUAAGGUAGCGAAGUUCCUUGUCGGGUAAGUUCCGACGUGCAUGAAUGGAGUAACGACUGGAGCACUGUCUCCACAACCGACUCGGUGAAAUAGUAGUGGCGGUGAAGAUGCCGCCUACCCGCAGCAAGACGGAAAGACCCCGUGGACCUUUACUGCAGGCAUAUAUUGGUCAUGGACCUGUACUGCGUAGGAUAGGUGGGAGGCUUUGAAGCUGAGUUUUCGGACUUGGUGGAGCCAUUCUUGAAAUACCACCCUGUGCUAGUUUGUGGCCUAACCCCGAUUCCCAUGAAGCUGGGCGGGGGACCAUGUAUGCUGGGCGGUUUGACUGGGGCGGUCUCCUCCUAAAAGGUAACGGAGGAGCGCAAUGGUUGGUUCAGCGCGGAUGGAAACCGCGUGUUGAAUGUAAGAGUACAAGCCAGCUUUACUGUGAGUCAUACAGGACGAACAGUCUCGAAAGAGGGCUCUAGUGAUCCUGCAAUCCCGUGUGGAAGGGUUGUAGCUCAACGGAUAAAAGGUACCCCGGGGAUAACAGGCUUAUCGCUCCCGAGCGUCCAUAGCGGCGGAGCGGUUUGGCACCUCGAUGUCGGCUCAUCGCAUCCUGGGGCUGUAGGUGGUCCCAAGGGUUGGGCUAUUCGCCCAUUAAAGCGGUACGCGAGCUGGGUUCAGACCGGCGUGAGCCAGGUCGGUCCCUAUCUGCUGUGGGCGUUGCAUUAUUGAAAGGAUCUUUUCCUAGUACGAGAGGAUUGGAAAGGACUCACCCCUGGUGUGCCAGUUGGACCGCUCGGUCCAUCGCUGGGUAGCUAAGUGAGGCAGGGAUAACCGCUGAAAGCAUCUAAGCGGGAAGCCCCCCUAAAGAUGAGUAAUGCAUGUUCUUUAGAAUGAGAGACCCCCGGAAGACUACCGGGUUGAUAGGCCGCAUGUGUACGCAUAGAAAUAUGUUUAGCAAAGCGGUACUAACGGUCAAAGAUCUUGUCAU